ACACAAACUCCAGAUGUCUGACUCCCUGAACCUGACCGUCCUAAUUAGCAGAGCCCUAAUCUUUCCUUGACCAUCUCCUGUUCAGAAGUGGAGAAGUUAUCCAUCAACAGUCCCUGCCUGGAAAGAGCUUGGCUUCUGCCCUCCACAUGGCAUGCGGAUUUCCUUUUAUCUAAGAGAAAACCUAGAGUCCACCAGGAAGGCUGAGUGCCGCACAGAGGCCAGACAGAGCAGCCAUCAUUACUCCCUCCCUGCCGCCUCCUGCCUGUCUUCUAUGCCUAGCUAGCUGUUUCCUAAGGAUCAGAAGAGGAGUUUCUCCCUUGUCUUUCUGUUGGCGACACUGGGGAGAUUAUGGAACCUUUAGAAAGUGGCACCUUACUGGGAGAAAAGCCCGAACAAAAACUGGCCCAGAGUGCCUUGCAGAUAAAGGAACUUCAGUCCUGACUGCCCAGAAGUCUGAGGAAUGAGGUGGUUGUCUGUGUUCACACAUCUCUUUUGCAUUCAUGCUGCAGGCCACCUUAUUCCGGGCUGAAAAUGAGUGUGAAGCUCAUUUUCUUCCACCUUUGUUUAAUUAAUAGGAACACUUCCCAAAGGAUCGACUCCUUUAAAAUUUUAAUAAAGUUGCUGAGCUCUUGA
rnacentral:lncRNA from 1 species